GCGUGUGUAGCUCAGUUGGAUAGAGUGUUUGGCUACGAACCAAAAGGUCGGGGGUUCGAAUCCCUCCACGCGUA
rnacentral:tRNA from 5 species